GAUGAACGCUGGCGGCGUGCCUAACACAUGCAAGUCGAGCGAGAAGCUCAUCACAGAUGCUUCGGUUGAAGUGAUGAGUGGAAAGCGGCGGACGGGUGAGUAACGCGUAGGCAACCUGCCCUUUGCAGAGGGAUAGCCUCGGGAAACCGGGAUUAAAACCUCAUGACACCUCUUAAAGACAUCUUUGAGAGGUCAAAGAUUUAUCGGCAGAGGAUGGGCCUGCGUCUGAUUAGCUAGUUGGUGGGGUAACGGCCUACCAAGGCGACGAUCAGUAGCCGACCUGAGAGGGUGAUCGGCCACAUUGGAACUGAGACACGGUCCAAACUCCUACGGGAGGCAGCAGUGGGGAAUAUUGCACAAUGGGGGAAACCCUGAUGCAGCAACGCCGCGUGAAGGAAGAAGGCCUUUGGGUCGUAAACUUCUGUUCUAAGGGAAGAUGAUGACGGUACCUUAGGAGCAAGUCCCGGCUAACUACGUGCCAGCAGCCGCCGUAACAC
rnacentral:rRNA from 1 species